rnacentral:ncRNA from 18 species
ACACCAGCGAGACGCCCUCUCCUCCUCCCUGGGCUGAUCGCGACCCUUACGAACGGCCCUCUCCUCCUCCCUGGGCCAAUCGUGAAAAUGAAACGGCGGCGCCUCUCCUCCUCCCUGGCGUCGCCGUGUUCU